AUUUGACGUUACCUACACGAAGAAGACACCGGCUAACUCCGUGCCAGCAGCCGCGGUAAUACGGAGGGUGCGAGCGUUAAUCGGAAUUACUGGGCGUAAAGCGCAUGCAGGCGGCCUGUUAAGUCAGAUGUGAAAGACCCGGGGCGUUAACCUCGGAAAUUGCAUUUGAAACUAGGCAGGCUAGAGUCUUGUAGAGGGGGGUAGGAAUUUCUAGGUGUAGCGGUGAAAUGCGUAGAGAUCUGAAGGAAUACCAGUGGCGAAGGCGGCCCCCUGGACAAAGACUGACGCUCAGAUGCGAAAGCGUGGGGAGCAAACAGGAUUAGAUACCCUGGUAG
rnacentral:rRNA from 1 species